ensembl:snRNA U2 U2 spliceosomal RNA
AUCGCUACUUGGCCUUUUGUCUAAGAUCAAGUGUACUAUCUGUUCUUAUCAGUUUAAUAUCUGAUAUGUCCUCUAUCUGAGGAUGAAAGAAGGAAAGAGAAAAAAG